rnacentral:lncRNA from 1 species
GCGCCAAAUCGCAUUCGUCACGGAGUAAUGAAAACUCCCAAAAGAAUCCGAAAGGGAAUCAGAUUAUUUUGAUGAAUAACCAGAUAACCUGCUAAGCAAUUCAGUUUAUAUCAAUUUCUUGAUAUGAAGGAGAGAAAAUCAAUUUCAUAGAAAUAUUCAUUUGGCACAAUAACAACUCUUUUUAUACAGGGAAUACUUCCUUAUAGUCGUUCCAGAAAAAUUUCACCAUUCGGUUGCCUCUGCUCGUUUCUUUAGUUGAAUCAGAAAGUGUUGAAAAAAGAAACCAGCCAAGCACUCUGAUCUGUAAAAAUAUUUUUGUAUCCUGGAUAGACGUUUCAUUUGUCAGCAAUCAACAUGACAGUAAAGAUUCACAUAGUAUACUGGUAAGGUUAUACAUUUCUACCAUUUAUAGAUUAUCUUUCGUUUACUUUGCAACUUUUUUUUAUGGAAUGUCAACUGCAAGGAGUCAUGGAAUGUUAUGUGGGAGAUAAAAUAUAUGGAAUGGAAAUGAGAGACAAGUUAUUAUAUUUGUGAAUGAGUCUGAUAGACCAGUGGCGGAUCCAGAAAUUUACUUAUAGGGAACUCCAACUGUUAUUAACUGCCCGCUCCAGUCAUAUGCUUCAUUGAUUCCCCAUUAUAUGGACAAGAAUUGUGAAUUUCUGACGAUAAUUCUAUUAAGCAUGUCAAGUGGGUCUCAUUGGGGUCUAAGCGUGGCACAAGAUUGCCAAUUUUUUAGUAAGCCGACACAUGAAAGUCAAAUUAUUGUGCCUUGAAAGCGUGAAAUAAAGUCUAGCGGGACAAGGAAAAUAACAAAAAAACGAGAAUUGCUUGUGCAUGUACAUAGUGUAAGCAGGAUACAGGAAUCUGACAAAACAAUAAACAGGAUCCAAAAUCAGAACCCCCACAUGAGACAUGUCAAGUUGUAAAAACUUUAUAUUUUGAAAUCAUGCAGUUUAAAUAAAAAACCUGAUGAAUAUUAAAAUUGGGUAGGGUGGAUUAUAAAUCAACCAUAUUUAGAGAUUCAAAUCUUGUUACCCAUACCUCACAUGUACAGUGCAACUCAGUGCAGUUUAAACUUGUAUUGAAAAGUUGAUAGAAAAACAUAUUCAUGCUCUGAUAAUGGAUAGUUUAAAAAUGUUAAUUUGACUGUCACUGAUCUGGAAGGUUUUUUUCACUAUGGGCCCAGGGCCCCUCAAAACUAAAUUCAAUGGGCCAUUUAAAAAAAAUAAUGGGCCAUGUUGUCAAAUGAGUGGGCCAUUUUAAUUGACUUCUGUACAAAAAAAAAUAUCAGUAUAUUUUGGCAAAGAGGUGUUGAUACUUACCUUUAUGAUUUUAAAUAAAAUCAUGGAUAUUGUUCCUGUGAUUUUAUAAUUUCAAUUUCAAUGAAUAUACAAUAACUUUUUCCAACCCCAACAAAAUUUUAAGUCAACCUUUAUUUACAAUGUUUAAACUGGUACUGUUGCCUUGUUCAUGUUUAUGUUUUCUUUUUGUACAUAAAAUUUAGGUCUUCGUCGAUACCAUACUUAUUCUAGACAUUCCGUAUCAGGGAUAUUUCACAUUUCCUUCUGCACUUCUUGUAUUAUUAUAACUUCAUCACGGUGACAAGAAUAACAGUAAAGAGUACCAUUAAUUCAUAGAACAUAACAACAAAUCGCUGAAGUCAUGUUUACAAAAUGUAAAAAACAAGUCAAAGACCAAAAAAUGACAAGGACAGUUAGGCGUCUUUUAUGGAGACAAAAACUAUAUUCCUAAAAAGUCUUGGGGUUCUUUAAUCGAAAUAAUAGCAAGCUAAACUAAAUGAGAUUAUUAUUACAGUUAAAUCUCGUCUGUACUAGCCAAAUUUCACAAAUUUAAAGUUGUUUAUAAACAAAUAGAAUAGAAUAGAAUAUUUUUAUUCACCAAAUUAGGGCCCCAGUAGAAUCUGGGUCUGUUCGCGCCCAUUCACGUGCGCACCUGCUCAUGUUCGCCCCUUUCACUUUCGCACCCUACAUGUUUGCGCCCAAUUUUAAUUGGUUUUGUGUUUAAUAACUUUGUCAUCAAGUUUUGGCAAGUGUAUUCUUAUAAGUCAUGUAAGUAUAUUUGUUGUCAUUGUUUCAAAAUAAAGCAUUUUUUUUUGUUGUUGAAUAAAUUUUAAUCAUUUUUUUGAUAGUGUAUUGUUAAAAAUAACAAUUUGUAAAUAAAAUGGGUUUCUGUCAACGUUUUAUUUUGUGUUGCAUAACUCUUAAUAAUCAUGGUUUGGUUAGUGUAUUGCUAUAAAUUUGUUUCAUUGACUUGUUUCAAAAUAAAGUGAGAUUCUGACUACGUUUUUUUUUUGUGUGCUGAAUAAAUUUUAUCAUGUUUUGGUUAUAAUAGUGUAUUGCUAUAUUUUAUUGUUUCAUUGUUUCAGAUCAAAGGGACCAAGCUGUUAUAAACAAUUACCUUUUGUGUUUUUUAUUUAAAAUCUUCAAUGUUUUACUCAUACCAAGCUAAAUACAUUCAGUAUUUACACCAAAGCAAUUUAAAACAACAAUCAUGAUUUUCCAAUUAUUCAACUGGAAUUUGAUUAAAAUUGGGCACGAACGUGUAGAGUGCGAACGGACCUUGGGUGCGAACGUGUAGGGUGCGAAAAUAUAUAUUGGUGCGAACGGACCUGAUACCGCCCCAGGAGGGCAUACAAAUAUAUCAUGAAUGAUGGUUAAUUAAGUUUUUCGGGUUAUCAGUUAGACCGCAAGGUUCUAUUAUUACAAUAGGAAAACACCCGAGACGUUAAAAAUCGCAUGGUUCUAUUAUGAUAGGGUAACACCCGAGACGUCCCAAAAAUAUAUAGGUGCUCCUAUUAUUGGAGGAACAUUACACAGUUGUGUACACACACAUGGCGGCACAGAACACGAUCGGAAAUUCAUUUGACGAUAUCUAAACAUUUCGAAACGAAGUGAAAAAUAUCGUGCGCCACGUGGGCACUUACAUUUGUCACUGCAUGCGCCAUUUCUUGUCAAUAUGCGCUAUAGGCGCAGGGCGCACGUCCUUCCCGAUCACUGGACUGUAUAACUAUCCAUUUUGAUAGAAAAAGAUCUUCAUGUUCUGAUAAUGAAUAGUUUCAAAUUUUCAAUUUGAAUAUAAAUUAAACUAUCCAUUUGUAUAUUUAAGUAAACCAUCGCCCAAUUUAUAGUAUACAUUGCAAAAUAUUUCUUUCGUCCCAGACAUGUCAGAAAUUUAUUAAAACUUUUCCUUGAUGCUGUUAAAAAAUUUCUAGUCAGUGGAAAAAUCAUGUUAUAUUUGCAUAAAGAGCUACUAAUUUUUUGAAAUAAAAGCUAUAACCAAAUUUUAUUAGUCUGUCAAAAAUUAUUAAAGGUGAAAUAUAUACAUUAUUAUUAUCUAAAUUUGUUAAAGGAGGUUCUUAUAUAUAAAAAAAAUAAUUAUAAAAAAGUCAUUUAGAACUAAAGACAUUAAGGACUAAAUUACAGGAAACAUGAUAUAUGUUUUUAAUAUUAUAUUCUUUUAUUUUAUAAGUUUUCACUCUUUGUCUUAAAUAAAUAGAUAUAGGAAGAUGUGGUAUGAGUGCCAAUGAGACAACUCUCCAUCCAAAUAACAAUUUAUAAAAGUAAACCAUUAUAUGUCAUGCAAGGUACAGCGGCUUUCAACACAGACCCUUGGCUCACCUGAACAGCAAGCUACAUGUAUAAAGGGCCCCAAAAAUUACUAGUGUAAAACCAUUCACAGUGACACGGGAAAACCAACAGUCUAAUCUAAAUAAAAACUAGAAAUGAGAGAAACACGUACAUGUAUGAACCACAUAAACAUACAACAACCACUGAAAGUAUGUUUUGGGUUUCUAUUUGUAUAAAUUUGUCUAUUUUCUGUUUGUGACAAGCAAAUACAAUAUAAAUCUAUAAUAUUUUUUUAUUGAAUAAUGCAGCCUUAAAUAAAACAGAUAUUAGGGGUUUAGGUUCUUAUUAUAUAAAGAAACUUUAUGAUUGAAAAUUGAUACAACCUAAUUCAAUCCUAAAAAAGAAAGCAAAAAAAAAAACUAAUUGGAAAGAAAUAGAAAAAGAAAGUAAAAAUUAUCACCUAAAACUAAAACUUACUAAAAUGUUAGAUGAUUUGUUUUAUCUCUCUUAUGACUAUCUGAUACAUGUAUUCUAAUAUGUUUAUUAUACCCCAUCCGUCCGUCCGUCAGUCCGUCCGUCUGUCCGUCAGUCCUGUUUCUUGUCAUCGCAACUCCUCUCAAACCACACAACAGAAUUUCACGAAACCUUUUCAAAUAAUAAGGAGAUACUAUUAGUUGUGCAUCGACGGGAAAUUUGCGAUUCAAUUUUUUUUUCUAGGAGUUACGCCCUUUGAACUUAUUUCUUUAAUGUACUACUGCAACAGUUUGUCAUCGGAACUCCUCUCAAAAACCACACAACAGAAUUUCACGAAACCUUUCAGAUAAUAAGGACAUCUAUAGUUGUGCAUAUCGACGGGAAAUUACGAUUCAAUUUUAUUUCUAGGAGUUACGCCCCUUUGAACUUAUUGCUUCAAUGUACUACUGCAAAGUUUGUCAUCGCAACUCCUCUGAAACACACAACAGAAUUUCAUGAAACCUUUUCAGAUAAUAAGGACAUACUAUGUAGUUGUGCAUAUCGACGGGAAAUUACGAUUCAGUUUUAUUUCUAGGAGUUACGCCCCUUUGAACUUAAUGUAUAUUGACAGGAAAUUAUUAUUCAAUAUUUUUCUUAUACAAUUUUUUUUUCUUAUACUUAUUUAAUUUCUCCAAUGACAAUGUGGGGACAUGGGGUAUGUGAGCGUGCUCACUAAGGUUCUUUAAUUUAUUUUAAUGUACUACUGCAACAGUUUGUCAUCGCAACUCUUCUCAAACCACACAACAGAAUUUCACGAAACCUUUUCAGAUAAUAAGGACAUACUAUGUAGUUGUGCAUAUCGACGGGAAAUUACGAUUCAAUUUUAUUCUAGGAGUUACGCCCCUUUGAACUUAUUUGCCUUCAAUGUACUUCUGCAACAGUUUGUCAUCUCAAUCCUCUGAAAACACACAACAGAAUUUCAUGAAAUUUUAUAGAUAAUAAGGACAUACUAUGUAUAUUGACAGGAAAUUAUUAUUCAAUAUUUUUUCUUAUACAAUUUUUUUUUCUUAUACUUAUUUAAUUUCUCCAAUGACAAUGUGGGGACGUGGAGUAUGUGAGCGUGCUCACUAAGGUUCUUUAAUUUAUUUUAAUGUACUACUGCAACAGUUUGUCAUCGCAACUCCUCUCAAACCACAAACAGAUUCACGAAACCUUUUCAGAAUAAAGACAUACUAUGUGUUGUGCAUAUCGAUGAAAUUGUGAUUCAAUUUUUUUUCUAGGAGUUACGCCCCUUUGAACUUAUUUGCUUCAAUGUACUACUGCAACAGUUUGUCAUGGUAACUUCUCUCAAACCACACAACAGAAUUUCACAAAACCUUUUCAGAUAAUAAGGACAUACUAUGUAGUUGUGCAUAUCGACGGCAAAUUGUGACUCAAUUUUUUUUCUAGGAGUUACGCCCCUUUGAACUUAUUUGCUUCAAUGUACUUCUGCAAUAGUUUGUCAUCUCAACUCCUCUGAAACCACUCAACAGAAUUUCAUGAAAUUUUGUAGAUAAUAAGGACAUACUAUUUAGAUGUGCAUAUUGGCAGGAAAUUAAUUUUUCUUAUACAAUUUUUUUUUCUUUCACUUAUCUAAUUUCUCCAAUGACAAUGUGGGGUAUGUGAGCGUGCUCGCUAAGGUUCUUUAAUUUUUUCUCUUUUACAGAGGAGCAUGAGGAUAUGAACCCAAGGUAAAUAUAAGUAAAUAGUAUAGACCAGUUUCACAUAAGCUACUAAUCAACGCUGAUCUCGAAAUUUUCUGCGCGUUUGAGUUUAAAUCUCGCGAUAAUUAACGAUAUCAUACGUGACAGGGGGCUACUGAUAUUUAGCAACACAAUAAUAAAUCAACCGCUUAUAAUUACUGCGUUAUGUACAUUGCUGUAUGUCAGUUUGAUUUUUCGUGAAAAGAGAAAAAUAUUUUGAUAAAGAGAAAACAGCCUAAACAUCAGAAAUUCAUUUAAUUUCAGUUCUGUUCCAGUUUUUCUUAAUAUUUUUUACAUCUUCUUCACAUGCAUGUAAAGGGUUUUUACGGUCUACAUAUAGGUUUAGUAUCAUAGACUCGAACUUUUAAUUUUCUUUUAAAAAAAUACAGGUUACUGUUAUGGUGACUUUUGCAUGAAAUUUUAUGGGUACAAGGACAUGAUACCGGCACUACUAAAUAAUCGAAAUUUCCAAUAAUGGUAGUACAAUGUAGGGGAGUAUAAUAUAUAAUGUUCAACGAAAAUUGAUAGAAUUUUUCCUUACAUACUCUUGUCAAAGAUGUAGUACAUAAUUAUUGUGAUAUGCUAACAAUAUGAAAAACACAAUGAUAGGUCACCGAGUGUAUUCAAGCUAUACGCUGUGAAAAUAUGAAGCAUUUUGUAUGGAUUAAACAGAGGCAUUUUUAAGGUAAAAGUAUCAUUAUAUGAAUAUUUGAAGGUAAAACAAAUGAUAGAAUUCCAAAGUAAAAUGUGAGAAAAUAGCUCUUAUAAAAUGCGUUCAGAAAACAACAGAAAAAAUGGAGUCACCAUGCGUUUUAUCCUGUUUUAGCGUACAUGGCAAUAUAACAUUAAUAGAACACUUUCCUAUUGAUUGUAAUAGACACGUAGUAGACAGGGCCCUGGUACCGUGUUGAAGACCGUACAUUGACCUAUAGUUGUUAAACUUUUGAUACAUUGUGACAUGGACUGAUCGACAGUUGAAUCAUUGGCACUCAUACCACAUCUGCUUAUUUGUAUGUACAUUUGUUUCAAAUAUUUCUGUGUCAAUGAUGUUUUAGACGGCCAUGAUAUAAAUGAAGUGAGAUAUAAGGCAGUUUUUAAAAUACGUAUCAGAAAUACAGGUUCAUCUUCAAUUUUCAAAGAUCGGACUAUAAUACAAUGCAUUCAAUAUCAUUUUAAUUUCUAAGCUAUGUUCAUGAUCGAUUUCGUCUAAGCAGAGGUUCAGUGCCAGCGGGGCGAGUAAUUUUCUACAUAUUGUCAACUUUAUCAUUUUUCGUGCCAUUAAAAGUAAUUGAAUAUCCUGUAUUUACAACAAGCGAUGUAUGCCUUAAAUUAAGAUCAAAUGCUGAAUGACCCCCUCCUAAAUUAUUAAAAUAUUCCCAGUGGCAUUAACCACACUGGCCAUGAUAUCUCAGUGUUAAUAAGGUACCAGGGUUAACAUUUUAAAACAUCUGUACUAGGGGAUGACCAUUUGAUUUUCAGGGGGGGGGGGGGGGGUAGAAAAAUAAUAUUCUUAGACUAAUUUCCUAAUAAAUAAUUAUGACCUAGGCAGGAUGGAAAAGAAUGAUCUGCAACACAAACUACAGGAAAUAAUUGUGUACAAAAGUUAAAUGAAUUAUCAAACGGUCGCCCUUUUUCAGUAACUGUAUAUACAGAAAAGGGUACGUUUUAUCAAUUUUCACCUGGUGAGAUUAUACAAGGUGAAACGAGGAUUCCACAUGGCCAAGGUGUUAAUUGCCUUCUUAAUUUAUGACCUUAUACUAUGUAUAUGAAGUGAGCCCGCUUAUUUAUCUAAUUUAUUCUUCCCGUUAGGUGAACGAUCUCAGCGUGAAUUCGUGACAUUUAAAGGUACAAUUAAUAUAAAGCCAGGCGGCAUAUCAGAUCGUAUAUAAUACUGCAAUCAACAACACAGCAGUAGUCCGUUUUAAAAUCUUUUAUUGUGUCAAUUGUUAAAUAAUUAAAGUUGUCUGGUCAAUAUAAAUUUUUAUAUUUUGAUUCAAUGAUGAUGCUCAUGUUGUUAGAAAUGACCCAAAUGUAAACGCAAACACUCAAUCAGAUGCUUGUUUUUCCAAGUCUUAAUGGUCACUGCUUACAACCGUUAGCCCCCAGUUGAUAAACUCUCGAGAAUUAUCGCGUGAUUUCAUAGUUUUGCUAAUUAGAUUAGACAUGCGCAGUUAAAUGUGAAACUGGUGUAUUGGUAUACAAAUUUACAUGUUGAUAAAUUAAAGCAUUACAAGGCGUCACAACUCAUAUUCAGCAAAAAGUAGAUUUAAGGUCACCAUACGCAGUAGUCUUAUUCCAAGUACAAGCUCCACAUAGUGCUGUAUCUACAUGUAUAUAUUAUAUAGUUCAGACCACUAGAGAUAUGACACCAGGGUAUUUCAAAUGUUAAUAUAGUUAUGGUCCUAUAAAUGCAUGGGGAUUUAUAAUUAUCUCCCUUUAAACAGAUGUUUAACAUCUUACAUUAUCAUGAUUAUAAACAUUUUACACUUUUACAUUUUUUUGUAAAACUGCUUUAUAUGAACAUUUUAAUUUAAUGAAAAAGUGAUCAUAUGAAAUACACUUUUUUUAAGAGACAGAAAAUGGUAAAUGCUGUAUUAUGUUUUUCAUGAAUGUUGAAUGUUACAAUGCUGAAAUGAAAUAUGUAAUAAGGAGAUGUGAUAUGAUUGCAAAUGAGAUGACUUUCCAACAUAGUCCAAAUAAUGUGGAUUUAAGAAAUUAUAGGUCAACGAACAGCCAUUUGUUUUGUUCAAACUUUUAUGAAAUUAUUGCCAUCAAAGUUUUAUAUAUACAAAUAUGUGAUGUUAAUUUUUCAUAUUUAUACGUAGUUUAGAAAUAAUAUAUUUGGCAGAAGAAUAUUGAACAUUUUUAUUUACUUCCAUACAUGUAUACUUUUACUUUCUACCAAUGGGUCUUCAACAUAGUGAGAAAAUCUCUAAACCAGAGAUGGGCUUCAGCUUGACCAUGAACAACAAUGUGUACUAGUUUAGUGAAAAUGGACAUCACACUAAACUUGAGCUAAAAUUAAAAAAAAACAUACAAAUCUAACAAAGAUCCAGAGGUUUCUGAAUGUGACUUUUACAAGUCUAGAAGAAAAAUAGAUAUAUACUUAAAUAAUUUUGAUAGUGUUUCAUUCUGUAUGUCUAUUUUAUUAAUGUUUAAGCUUUAUUUUGCAGUUCCGUAAGUUAAAGACGGAGCUUGAGCGAUCAUAUCCCGGCCAGGUGGCAAUCGUAAGUUCAUCAUUAAAACAAAAUAGUUUUAUUUGUUUGUUAGGAAGUUGAUUUAUUAUCAUUUUCAUAAAAAAAACAUGCCUAGAAUACAUUGGUUUAACAUAUUUUUAACAAGCUUGUGUCUGAGUGUAGGUCUGUCAAAUAAAAUAUUUUGCUAGAUAUCAAGAAGUUUCCUGAAUAUUCCAGAAUAUGGAUAAUUGCAUUGAAUCUCAUUAGAAUUUAAUUUUUGAAAAGCCAAGAAGGUCUACACUAAAGGGCCAUUUGUGUUUUGCUUGAAAAAGAAAGAAAUAUCACAUGCCAUCCCAAAAAUUGAAUCACAUGUGAAAAUGUCUCGACUUUGACAUGAACCAGUACCGGUAUAUAUAUCCAAAGCUACAUUUACAAUAUGGACAGAGGAAUUGAAGAAAACUUUACUUUAUCCCCAUCUUGAAAAGAUUUAUGCAUUUUGAACCAUUGGAGAUAUAAAGACAUUAGAAAAUUUAAAAAGGUAGGAUUUAAAUGUAAUGAGUUUUAACAUAGAUUUAUUAUUGCUGCAUUACAAAGUGAAGGUUGCCUUUAGAGAGAUACAUUUAAAUAAUAUGAAAGAACUGGUUUAUCCAAAAGGAGACUGCCAUAUGCUAGAUCUGGCAGUGAGACUUGUCCUGAGGGGUGAAUCUGUCAUUCCUUUUAUACAUUUCAUCCCCCCCUCAACUCAUUUUGCUGAAUCUACAUAAUCUUAUUCACAUCUUAAUCAUUCAUUUUAUAUUGAGUAAUGCAUAUGUAACUUUAAAAACAAUUUAUAAGUCAACCAAGUUGCAGUAGGUAUGAUCAUCAGCUUUCAUUCCUUUUUAUAAUUAUAUUGUCAACUGAUGAUGUCAAUACAAAGAAUAAAAAUGUUUUUGUUUAUUGUUUUAGACCGGAGAAGGAACACCAAGUGUAACUGGCUUUUUCGAAGUUGAGGUUGCUGGAAAACUUGUUCAUAGCAAGAAGGUUAGAUUAAGUGCUAAGAUGUCAUGUGUUCUUGAAAAAUGUUGAUAAUCAGUCUUUUAGUUAGCAAGGACCAAAUCUAUCUUCAAA